rnacentral:rRNA from 1 species
UACGGGGGGGGCAAGCAUUGUUCGGAAUUACUGGGCGUAAAGGGCUCGUAGGCGGCCAACUAAGUCGGAUGUGAAAUCCCCAAGCUUAACUUGGGAACUGCAUCCGAUACUGGAUGGCUUGAAUCCGGGAGAGGGAUGUGGAAUUCCAGGUGUAGCGGUGAAAUGCGUAGAUAUCUGGAGGAACACCGGUGGCGAAGGCGACAUCCUGGACCGGUAUUGACGCUGAGGCGCGAAAGCCAGGGGAGCAAACGGG